GCCAAACAGCUAGCUCACCCAUCCAAUAACUAAGCAAUGUAAAUAAAACAAAAUAAGCCUAACCCUAAAAAUUAAACCAUUCUUUUACCUUAGUAUGGGAGACAGAAAAGGUUACACCUGGAGCAAUAGAGAUAGUACCGCAAGGGAAAGCUGAAAGAGAAGUGAAAUAACUCAUAUAAGCACAGAAAAGCAAAGAUUAAAUCUUGUACCUUUCGCAUCAUGAUUUAGCCAGUACACCCAAGCAAAGAGACCUUUAGUUUGAAACCCCGAAACCAGGUGAGCUACCCCGAGACAGCCUAUUAAGGGCCAACCCGUCUCUGUGGCAAAAGAGUGGGAAGAGCUCCGGGUAGAGGUGACAAAUCUACCGAACCUGGUGAUAGCUGGUUGCCUAAGAAGUGAAUAGAAGUUCAGCCUCGUGUUCCCUAGAUCAGACGUUAAAAAGAAGAUACUAUAAGAGUAACGCACGAGAGUUAGUUAAAGGGGGUACAGCCCCUUUAACAAAGGACACAACCUUUACAGGAGGAUAAAGAUCAUAAUACAUAAAACAUCCUGUUCUAGUGGGCCUAAAGGCAGCCAUCUAAACAGAAAGCGUUAAAGCUCAGACAGAAGUAAGUUUAUUAUUCCGACAAAAAAUCUUAUUCCCCUAACUACUAUUAGGCCAGCCCAUGCCCGCAUGGGAGGGACUAUGCUAGAAUGAGUAACAAGAAGGCCUGCCCUUCUCCAAGCACAAGUGUAAGCCAAACCGGACCAACCAUUGGCAAUUAACGAACUCAACCCAAGAGAGUAAUGUGGAUUGCAACAAGACCAAGUAGAACCCACAGCAAACCUAUCGUUACCCCCACACUGGUGUGCUAUUAAGGAAAGACUAAAAGAAGGGGAAGGAACUCGGCAAACUCAAGCCUCGCCUGUUUACCAAAAACAUCGCCUCCUGCAACAAAACCUAGUAUAGGAGGUCCAGCCUGCCCAGUGACUAUAAGUUCAACGGCCGCGGUAUUUUGACCGUGCAAAGGUAGCGUAAUCACUUGUCUCUUAAAUGGAGACCUGUAUGAAUGGCUAAACGAGGGCUUAACUGUCUCCCCCCUCCAGUCAGUGAAAUUGAUCUAUCCGUGCAGAAGCGGG
rnacentral:rRNA from 1 species